rnacentral:rRNA from 1 species
GAUAAACGCUGGCGGCGUGCCUAAUGCAUGCAAGUCGAACGGUUUAGCUUCUUCGGAGGCUAAAUAGUGGCAAACGGGUGAGUAACACGUGGGGAUCUGCCCAGUAGUGGGGAACAACUCCGAGAAAUCGGAGCUAAUACCGCAUACGGUCUGUGUCGAGGGGCACGAGACUAAAGCCUAGUAAUAGGCGCUAUUGGAGGAACCUGCGGCUGAUUAGCUAGUUGGUGGGGUAAAGGCCUACCAAGGCGAUGAUCAGUAGCUGGUCUGAGAGGAUGGACAGCCACACUGGGACUGAGAUACGGCCCAGACUCCUACGGGAGCAGCA